AUACACCUAUCCCUUGUCUAGAUCGUGUCUGAGUACACCCCUCAGUGGGCCGUCCAAGGUCUACUCGUGGGCCUGGGGUGCAUGCCCGAAAACAGCCCUAGUACAUCAGCAUGGACCUUUCGCGCUUGACCUUCACCUCAUGCCGUCGACCGUCACGUCACAUCCUACACCUACACAUCACAAGCCAAGAGACACAACACACAACAUACGGUAUACUCAAACACCACAACACAACUCACACAACGCAACACAUCCGGUUAGCCGUUAGCAUAAUCAUGCAUAUAUGAAACAUGGACUCAACCGGUAAAGCCUCAAAUCAUUACAAAUAGAUCAAGGUACUUCUCAACUUGGUCUCUCAAUCUCCCCCUUGAUAAGUGCAUUGACAAAAGAUGAUUUGAAAGCAAAAGAAAAAAAACUCUUUCAAGUGCCCAAAAGUCAAGUAAAAGCAAACACAAGGCAACUUGAUAUGAGAAAGGAUCAUGCAAGGUCCAAACUAAAAUUUUAGGUUGCCAUCAAAGCCAUUUUUCAAUCUCCCCUUUGAUGAAUCCCACAAGACAACCAAAGAGUCAAGCGAAAGACACAAGAGCUUCAUGAAUCCGAAAACAUCAUCAAAGCCAUUUCGGCAUUUGUCAAACUCUCAUCACUAUAAAAUCAAGGUUCAUAUCAACUUGAUUUUCUCAAUCUCCC
rnacentral:lncRNA from 1 species